UACGUAGGGGGCAAGCGUUGUCCGGAAUCAUUGGGCGUAAAGCGCGUGUAGGCGGCUCGGUAAGUCCGCUCUGAAAGCCCGGGGCUCAACCCCGGGAGGCGGGUGGAUACUGCUGAGCUCGAGUCCGGAAGAGGCGAGUGGAAUUCCUGGUGUAGCGGUGAAAUGCGCAGAUAUCAGGAGGAACACCGAUGGCGAAGGCAGCUCGCUGGGACGGUACUGACGCUGAGACGCGAAAGCGUGGGGAGCAACAGG
rnacentral:rRNA from 1 species